AUCAUGUAGAAAUAAUUUUACUGCUGCUUUUGGGAUUGUAUUUAAGUCAACAAUGGUUUUGACUGUAAAAGCGAGCACAUAUUCGUAAUUUGGUUUCCAUGACGGCUUCAAAACUCCCUAAAGAAAAAUAUUAUUUUUUAUGCAGGUUUCUCCAUUUGCUUGACGUGAAGAUCUCUUCAAAACUACUUUGAUUGAGUAUUUGACAUGGCCAUAGCCAAAUUUUUCCAACAUCUCAGUUUGAAAUGAAGAGGGAAUUUUUUUUGGAAGUGCAAACGCAAAUGGAAAUUGGUGAACUCCACUGACAAGUUCAAAUGUUUCUCUGCCUGCAAGUAAAACAAUUAAUGUGUAUAAGAUAAUAAAAAUAUUGAACAUUGCUUGUCACUAAAUAUAUAAAAUGAUACCUUCAUUGGUAAUUACAGGAA